rnacentral:rRNA from 1 species
GAUGAACGCUGGCGGCGUGCCUAAUACAUGCAAGUCGAGCGAACGGACGAGAAGCUUGCUUCUCUGAUGUUAGCGGCGGACGGGUGAGUAACACGUGGAUAACCUACCUAUAAGACUGGGAUAACUUCGGGAAACCGGAGCUAAUACCGGAUAAUAUUUUGAACCGCAUGGUUCAAAAGUGAAAGACGGUCUUGCUGUCACUUAUAGAUGGAUCCGCGCUGCAUUAGCUAGUUGGUAAGGUAACGGCUUAACAAGGCAACGAUGCAUAGCCGACCUGAGAGGGUGAUCGGCCACACUGGAACUGAGACACGGUCCAGACUCCUACGGGAGGCAGCAGUAGGGAAUCUUCCGCAAUGGGCGAAAGCCUGACGGAGCAACGCCGCGUGAGUGAUGAAGGUCUUCGGAUCGUAAAACUCUGUUAUUAGGGAAGAACAUAUGUGUAAGUAACUGUGCACAUCUUGACGGUACCUAAUCAGAAAGCCACGGCUAACUACGUG